CAGGAAAACGAGUUUGUUUUCCUGACACUAUAGUGAUCCCUGAGGUUGGGGGGGACCUAAGGGUUAUAUAGUGUCAGGAAAACGAGUUUGUUUUCCUGACACUAU